CCUACGGGAGGCAGCAGUGAGGAAUAUUGGUCAAUGGACGAGAGUCUGAACCAGCCAAGUAGCGUGAAGGAUGACUGCCCUAGGGGUUGUAAACUUCGUUUAUAAAGGAGUAAAACGAUGCACGUGUGCCUUUUUGCUUGGACUUUAUGAAUAAGGAUCGGCUAACUCCGUUCCAGCAGCGGCGGUAAUACGUAGGAUCCGAGCGUUAUCCGGAUUUAUUGGGGUUAAAGGGAGCGUAGAUGGGUUGUUAAGUCAGUUGUGAAAGUUUGCGGCUCAACCGUAAAAGUGCAAUUGAUACUGGCAGUCUUGAGUACAGUUGAGGUAGGCGGAAUUCGUGGUGUAGCGGUGAAAUGCUUAGAUAUCACGAAGAACACCGGUUGCGAAGGCAGCUUACUAAUCUGUGACUGACAUUGAUGCUCGAAAGUGUGGGUAUCAAACAGGAUUAGAUACCCGUGUAGUC
rnacentral:rRNA from 1 species